rnacentral:rRNA from 1 species
GUGCCAGCAGCCGCGGUAAUACCGGCAGCCCAAGUGAUGGCCGAUAUUAUUGGGCCUAAAGCGUCCGUAGCUGGCCAGACAAGUCUGUUGGGAAAUCCACGCGCUCAACGCGUGGGCGUCCAGCGGAAACUGUCUGGCUUGGGGCCGGAGGACUCGAGGGGUACGUCCGGGGUAGGAGUGAAAUCCCGUAAUCCUGGACGGACCACCGAUGGCGAAAGCACUUCGAGAAAACGGAUCCGACAGUGAGGGACGAAAGCUAAGAUCGCGAACCGGAUUAGAAACCCGGGUAGUCC